AAUAAACCAAUUUUUCAUUUUUUACAUACGAUUUUUGACUAUUCGUCUUAUUUAAAUUUUUUUCGAUUGAUAUUUUUAUUAGAUGAUAAAUCAUGAAUAGCACUUUACAUGUGACUAAAUUUUUUUUCUAAUUUAUAAAAAAAUUUCAAAUAAAACGGAGGGUGAAAUGUUGGACACGAAAACC
rnacentral:pre_miRNA from 1 species